rnacentral:rRNA from 1 species
GUUUGAUCAUGGCUCAGAUUGAACGCUGGCGGCAGGCUUAACACAUGCAAGUCGAGCGGUAACAGGGGGUGCUUGCACCCCGCUGACGAGCGGCGGACGGGUGAGUAAUGCUUAGGAAUCUGCCCAGUAGUGGGGGACAACAGUCGGAAACGGCUGCUAAUACCGCAUACGCCCUACGGGGGAAAGCAGGGGAUCUUCGGACCUUGCGCUAUUGGAUGAGCCUAAGUCGGAUUAGCUAGUUGGUGGGGUAAAGGCCUACCAAGGCGACGAUCCGUAGCUGGUCUGAGAGGAUGAUCAGCCACAUCGGGACUGAGACACGGCCCGAACUCCUACGGGAGGCAGCAGUGGGGAAUAUUGGACAAUGGGGGCAACCCUGAUCCAGCCAUGCCGCGUGUGUGAAGAAGGCUUUCGGGUUGUAAAGCACUUUCAGCGAGGAGGAAGGCCUUAAAGUUAAUACCUUUAAGGAUUGACGUUACUCGCAGAAGAAGCACCGGCUAACUCCGUGC